rnacentral:misc_RNA from 1 species
AACGCACAUUGCGCCCCCUGGUAUUCCGGGGGGCACACCUGUUCGAGCGCCAUUUCAACCCUGGAGCCCUGCUCUGUGAUGGGCCCCGUCCUCAGGGACGGGCCCGAAACCCGUGGGCGCCUCCGUAAGGCCCUGAGCGUAGCAAGAGAAAUCCCUCGCUCGGAGUGCCCUAUGGCGGCCGCCCCGAACCAUCUUAAAAGGUUGGCCUCGGAUCAGGUGGGGAUACCCGCUGAACUUAA